AGAGUUUGAUCCUGGCUCAGAAUGAACGCUGGCGGCGUGCCUAACACAUGCAAGUCGAGCGAGAAAGCGACUUCGGUCGUGAGUACAGCGGCAGACGGGUGAGUAACACGUGGAUAACCUGCCUGGAAGCGGGGAACAACUUGGGGAAACUCGAGCUAAUACCGCAUACGUUCGCAUUGCGCAAGCGAUGCGAAGAAAGGUGGCCUCUUCUUGAAAGCUACCACUUCCAGAUGGGUCCGCGUCUGAUUAGCUAGUUGGUGGGGUAAAGGCCUACCAAGGCGACAAUCAGUAGCCGUCCUGAGAGGGAGAUCGGCCACACUGGAACUGAGACACGGUCCAGACUCCUACGGGAGGCAGCAGUGAGGAAUCUUGGACAAUGGGCGAAAGCCUGAUCCAGCAACGCCGCGUGGAGGAUGAAGGUCUUCGGAUUGUAAACUCCUGUCAGGUGGGACGAAGGGACUUUGGUUAAUACCCAAAGUUCUUGACGGUACCACCAGAGGAAGCCCCGGCUAACUCCGUGCCAGCAGCCGCGGUAAUACGGAGGGGGCGAGCGUUAUUCGGAAUCAUUGGGCGUAAAGGGCGCGUAGGCGGCCCGACAAGUCAGUGGUGAAAUCCCUCGGCUCAACCGAGGAACUGCCUCUGAAACUGUCAGGCUUGAGGCCGGGAGAGGGUAGUGGAAUUCCAGUGUAGGCGUGAAAU
rnacentral:rRNA from 1 species